ACCUCCAUACCUUGGAGGGUGUUUUUGGACAUCCUUUGGGAUUUCGGGUUAGGCAGCCACGAAAGAGUUCUCUUUGAGCUCCCUCUCCACCUCUAAAGUCGCUUGGAAGAUGCCCUCUAUGGUGUUGAAUUUGUGAAAUGUCAUGCGAGUAGAGAUGUCCUUGUUUAACCCAACCUUGAAUCAGAUGAUGUCAUUGCUCACUUGCUCUCCUGUAUGAUUAAGUUUCAAGAUGAGUUAUUGAAAUUCGUCAUAGUAGGCUGCCACAUUUUUAUUUUCUUGCUUCAAGUUGUGCAAUUUUGCAAGGAGUUCAUGUUGAUAGCUUUCGGGAAGGUACCUUUGCCUCAUAAUAUACCUUAAUCAAAACCAAGGAGGGGGUUACCCCUCAAUCAAUACAUUGCCAAAACGUUUGACAUGCUCCCACCACGUGGUAGCAUAUCCCUCAAAAUGGGCAAUGGCGUAGCAACUAUUCUUCUCCUCCGUGAGAUCAUUUACUUGAAAGAAUCUCUUGCAUGCGGAUUCCCAUUCAAGAAACUCUUCGAGAUCACUUUCUCCCUUAAAGAUCGGAAGCCCCAUUUUUAUGGUGUUGAGGCCAACAUCCCUUUCCCGAACACCUUGGACGCCCCUACCUUCAAUCCCCUGGUUAUUCCUAGGUUCUACCCUUCUACCUCUCAUCCCAUAUUCCUUCAAAUAAGGAUCAUCAUACAUUUCAUACCCUCCCCUUCGGUUCCCCUUCACAAAUUCCUCUUCUUGCAUUGGUGGUUUUUGGAUAUUUGGAAUUUGGUAUGGGGGAUUGGCAUUUAGUGGUGGAGGUCUUUAGAUUGGCUGAUUUUGGUUUGGAGGAGUCGAAUUUAGGGGUGGAAUUUGGGUUCCAAAUCCGUCAUGUGGGGCUUGGUGAUAUGUAGAAUGGCUAGGUACAUCAAGGCCUUAGCCUUGUGAAUAAUAGUGUGCUUGAGGUAUGGAAUUUGACAGGUACAUUCUUUGGUGUGUGGCUUUGAAGGUAAUGGUUGGGUAUGUGUUUUGGGGAGUUAAGGGAUAAGAACUCCAUUGACUUUUUACCCUUUCCAUUCGGCCACUAAUAGAGGUCACUUCCACUCCCAACUUCUCAACCGUAGCAUUCACUCUAGCCACGCCCCGAGACAAGGACUCAAGACUAGCUACAAGGGCAUUCAUAACAUUAUGAUCCACGGUUUGUGCAUUGGAAGUUUCAGGUUCCAUGUGUGGUGGUUCCAUUUGCAAAUGUACCUUACAAGUGUGCAAGCUUGAUGGAGUCCCAUACUUGAGAGGUGAACCAAGACUCUACAACGACUCAAGGAAACAAUAAAAAAAACACACGAAGGAUAGUAAACACAAAGAAUGGUUACAAAACUAACUUACAAACUAGUAGGAUAUUACUAGGUUGUCGAUUAGUGUCGAGUCAACAAACGAAACUAUGAAAUAAUAAUAGGAAACUAAGAAAAAUCUAAAAUUUGAACUCAAAAAUGUUGCGUGAAUAGUACUUUAGUGACGUGGUAGUCCACUAUUGGCCUCGAGUUUUAUCAAAAUUUUAUUUCCCAAUUUCAAGUCUUGAUCAAUAUACAAUUUGGAAUUGGUGGAUUUGGUUAAUGGGGGGAAAAGUGGUCUUGGAGCCUUUUUGUUCAAAUUUCAAAAGCAAAACUUGACUUCUUUGAACUUUCUCCUUGAAACAAGGUUCUUAAAUCAAGGAAAAGUAGAUGAAAAGUCUUUUAAGUGAUAGGGACAAGUCUUUCACUAACAACUACUACAAGCUUGUCUUUCACCUUUUUAGAUCUAGAUUGCACUUUAAGGAUUAACAAGAUGAUGAAAGGGUGAAGAACCUUAAGAACACAACAACAACUCCAAGAACAACAACAAUUUCAGUUUCCAACUCCACUAUAACAAGACUAUCAAAUCGGCCAAGGUGUAGGUAACAAUAACAUCCAACUCAGCCACACCUUGUUCACAUCAACAACUUCAACAAGUUCAAGUUCAAUCAUAGAUUUGGACACCUUUUAGUGUUGAUGAGAAAGAAACCAACACUAGAAACACUCUAAAAAAACAAAAGACUACAAGUUCUAGACACACAACAAACAAAUUUUGGCCAAGAUAACAACAACAGGAUUUUUGGCCAAGAACACAAAAUGGACAGAUUUGUACUUUUUUGGAAUUUUUUUGCAGUUUUCAGUUUUUUUUUUUUUAAAUUUUCAUCCAAGAGAACCCAAGAUUGGUAGUGUAGGAACACAACCAGCCUUGCUUUGAUACCAAAUGAUACAAAACUCCCCAAGAACACAACAACACAAACACCAAAAUUAGUCCACUAGUUCAAGAACUAUGAACCCUUUUUUGGUGACCUCUCUCGGAUUCAAGAACAUAAUAAGAAGACCAUGUAGUGAGGUGUUUAACACCUAUUUUUCAGAAGCAAACCAAACUAUAUUAUGACAAUAAAAAUGAAGAACAAAAAUAUUACAACAACAAUAACUAAACGGCUUGAACAACAAUAACACAAACUACAAGAUUAAGACAAGAAACAAAGAUAGAUAGUUGGACAAGUGUUGAUGUAGUCUUAACAACCCAAGAGCAUGUUCCACUCUUGGACCUUUAACACUUCAUACAACAAACACCUAACUCUUACAAUGACAAAAGAGAGGCAUCCACCUCUCAAAGCACCAAAGUCUCAAGCUUUACAACCCACAAGAGAAUCCACCCUUAUGCUAUGCCCUAAUUUCAGUUUCGAGCUCUCUCUCACAAAAGUAGUGUUCUUCAAUAUUAAGCACAAACUAAGACAAUAAACCCUACCAUGUUAUAUUUAUAUUACAAUGCAAAAUAAUAGAUAAAUGACAAAAGGUCCUUCCAUCAAAAAGGCCUCAAGGCCACCCAAUGGAGUGCAUUCAAAAACUUAUUUGGGCCUCAUCCACACUUGGGCUUGUGCAUUCUUUAGUUGGUCUUCAAGUUGCUCAAAAAACAUCUAAGGUCAUGAUCAUUCCCGUAUCAACUGGGGUAUUCGUGUUCCUCCUCAUCACAUGACUAAACCAUCUAAACCUCGUUUUCCUCAUCUUGGCUUCUACCAAAGCCACUCUCAUCCUAUCACGAAUAACCUUAUUUUUAAUCCUAUCUUUCCUAGUACACCCACACAUCCAUCAAAGCAUUCUCAUCUCCAAUACCCUCAUCUUCUGGAUGUGGGUCUUUUCUACAGGUCAACACUUCGCCCCAUGCAACAAAGUCAGUCUAACCACCACUCUGUAGAACUUGCAUUUAAGUUUGAGAGGUAUCUUUUUGUCAUACAAGAUAUCGGAGGCGAGCCUCCAUUUCAUCCACCCUACCCAGAUCCGAUGUGUGACAUCCUCGUCAAUCUCUCCAUUCUCUUGAAUCAUCAACCCCAGAUACUUGAAACUAUCUCUCUUACUGAUAGAAUGAGUGUCAAGAUUAACAACCACAUCAGACUCAUAAGACAUAUCGCUGAACUUACAUUUCAAAUAUUUCGUCUUGGACCUAGUCAACCUAAAACCCUUUAGACUCAAGAAUUUGCCUCCAAACCUCCAAUUUAGCAUUAACUCCACUACAUGUCUCAUCAAUCAAGACCACAUCAUCCACAAAAAGCAAACGAUAAGGCACCUUAUCUUGAAUGUGCCGCUUCAAAACAUCCAUCACCGAGGCAAAAAAAAAAACGGACUAAGCGUUGAACUUUGAUGUAAUCCCAUCCAAACAGGAAAGUGCUCUGAGUCCCCUCCCCCAGUCCUAAUUAGUGAGUAAGUAUUGUUUACAAAUACUUAAAUUUUUUUAAUUUGAACGGAAAAAAAUUAAUUCUGGAGAUACUUAUUAAUAUAUGUCAUUCAACCAUCUGAUUUUUCAAUAUUAUCUAAAAUAUAUGUAAUGAUUUAUCAAUAUGAUCAAAGUAUAUACUUACAUAUAUUUUAGUUAAUAAUCAAUAGUGAAUUAAUGAUGAAAGCAUAAAGUCUGUCUUAAGUAGAAUCGAAUCGACAAGCUCUUGAUAAAAACCAACAAAGUCAAUAGAAUAAAUACCUUUUUUUAGAUCACAAAUAUUCAUAUUUUUAACAAGAAGUAUAUAUGAUUUAUUUUUAUAAUAUCAUAAGUACCAAUAUUUAUUUAUUUUCAUUGUUAAAUUACCUACCUAAUCGGACAUCGUUGCAUACGUAAUUUUUGCACCAAAAAUGUGGAUAUCAUUUUGAUCAUUUCUUAAGAUUUUGUGUCAGGAACAAGAAUUUAAUAUUGGUUCAAUAUUCAAUUUCUCAGUCGCAACCAAAAAUAAAAGAAAAUUGUUAUGCAUGAUAUUGAUUGACCUCUUAAUUUUCAUUUAGUUAAAGGACAUUUUUAAGUUAAAACAAAAUAAUAUUUGGGUUAAAAUCCGUAACCGAGGACAAAAUUGGCCAUUUUCAUUUACGUGAAUUAAAGCUACAGAAAAUAAGUAUACUUUACAUUAAAAAACCAAUAUUCCUUGAAAUAACUAGUUAAUGAAGAAGUGCUUAUUGUAUCUUAUCGAAAAAGUCAUUAAUUUAUCGAAAAAGUCACAACUUCUCGAAAUUAUCAACAACUAUCAAAAAGGUCAUCACAAUCAUUCAAAGUAAAAAAAAAAAAUGUCAAAAAAAAAUGUCUUUUAAUAUUCACCCUUUCUCUUGAUGUCCAUUCAUUUUUCAUUAUACCUCUUAGAAAAUCAGCAUACGUACAUAUACUUCCUUGUUUCAUAUUAAUUGGUCCUCUUAGUAAAAAUAUUUGUUUCAUUUUAGCUGUUCAGAUUCUAAAAUCAAGAAAAGUUUAUUGUGCUUUUUCAAUAUUACCUCUAUCAUUAAAUGGUUAUAUAGAGUGUAUUUAAUCAAAUUUAUAUUUUCAAUAUAUAAUUAAUAGAGUUAAUUCAGUAAAAUAAAUCUCUAUUACAUGUUUUCUUAAGGGGAGUGUCAAGUUAAUAAGAACCAACUAAACGAUACGGAGAAAGUACUCCCUCCGUUCCAUUUUACUUGUCUCAAAUUUUUUAAUUUGAUUUAUCAUUUACUUGUCAUUUUUCACAAAUCAAGAAGAGACAAAAUUUUUUUUUCAUAUUUUACCUUUGCAUUAAUUAUUUUUUUUUCAAAUUAAAAUGUAAACAUCAUUUAAUAAGGGUAUUAUGGUGAACUAACCCUAUUAUUGAUUAUUUUUUUAAUCACCAUAACAAGUUAAUGGAAUAAGUAAAAUUUGACGGAGGGAGUAUUAGUUGCAGAGGUUUUAGUCAUACUGGUAUUAAUUAGGCAUGUAAUAGUUAUGUGAGUAUAAUUGUUCCAUCGUUUAGCCUACAUAAGAUAAUAUAUUAGAUAAUAUAUUAAUUUUCUCAUAACUUAUAUAUGUAUUAAUUAUGUGAAUUUUUAAAUUAUAAAAUAAAUAUUUUACUAAUUUUAUACAUUAAUAACUUACUAUUUCUCCGUUUAAAAAAGAAUGAUCUAUUUUGAUUUGACAUAAAGUUUAAAAAAAUAAAGAAACUUUUGAAUUUUGUGGUUUUAAAUUAAAAUUGUGUCAAUAGUAUCAAAAUAUUUUUUAAUCUUGUAGUCCUAAACAUGUCAUAUGUAAAGUUAAAAUUAAAGUAUUACAAAAAAAAGGGUCAUUUUUUUUUUAAAACGGACUCAAUAUUGCACAAACUUAUAAAGAGAUUAAUAUAUAAUUACUAGAAGAGAAUGGCCCGUGUCAGUACGGGCCCAACAUUAAGAUAUUUAUUUAUCUUUUCAAUCUUGAAAUAUUUAAAUAAAAAAAUUUAAUAAAAGGAUUGCAUAUGUUUUCUAGGAUUCAUUCGGAAUCUAGCAUGAGUUCAACAUAUGUUAUUUUAAUAUGUAUUUAGAUAAUUUAAGUUGUUAACUAUUGUAAUUUAUAAUAUUUUUUAUGUAAUUUUUAAAUUAAUAUACGUUACUUUUCUUGUCCAAAUUUUUGUGCCAUUGAUAAUCAAUUAUAUUUUGAAAAUAAUUUAAGUUUUUAAUUAUUGUGAUUUAUAAUACUUUUCUUCUAUUCCAAUUUUAGUGACACUAAUAUGAUUUUAAGAGUCGAUCAAAUAUUUAUAUCUUUUAAUUUUUUUAAGUUGUUAAUUAUUGUGAUUUCUAGUAUUUUUCAUGUAAUUUUUUUAAAAUAUGUAACAUAUUAAUUUUUUUUUAGAUAUUUUAAGUUGUUAAAUAUUGUAAUUUAUAAUACUUUUUAUGUAAUUUUUGAAUAAUAUAUGCUACUUUCCUUGUCCAGAGUUUUGUGUCGACGAUAGUCAAUUAUAUUUUUAAAAAUAAUUUAAAUUUUUUAUCAUUGUGAUUUAUGAUAUUUUUUCUAUUUCAUCUUAUGUGGCUCAAUGUUUAAAUGACCAUAANNNNNNNNNNNNNNNNNNNNNNNNNNNNNNNNNNNNNNNNNNNNNNNNNNNNNNNNNNNNNNNNNNNNNNNNNNNNNNNNNNNNNNNNNNNNNNNNNNNNNNNNNNNNNNNNNNNNNNNNNNNNNNNNNNNNNNNNNNNNNNNNNNNNNNNNNNNNNNNNNNNNNNNNNUAGUUCCGGGGGGCCCGUGCUAAGCCCGGGCCCAACCUCAAGAUAUAAAUAUAGUAUGUAAUUUAUCAAAUAAAUAUAAUUUGUUUCAUAUUUUCAACAAUAUUAUUUAGAUUAAUCAUAUCUAGACAAUAAAAUUUCAGAACUAUUAAAGUUUUACAUUUGCCCGAUGCUUAUAAGCCUAGAUUCUAACUAAUAUAAAAGAUUAAAUUUGUAAUUACUUUUUUAUCUUUAUGCUUUUUGUGACAUUAAGUUAUUGAAAGAGUAGUUCAAAAUUUCCUGCAAAUUCUUAAAAAUUAAAUCAUUGUAUAAAUGUAUUUGUAAGUUAAAAGAAAAAAUUAUUUGUAUUUUUAAAUCAAUAUGUAAAAUAAAGGUUGUUUUCAUGGAAUGCUUUGAGAAUAUAACAUCCAACAAUUCAAAUUAAACUUAAUCAUAUGUUGGAUUAAUUUCUUGAAUAGUUGCACUCCUAUGUGAAUCAAUAUUUAUUUUGAGAUUAAUUUUUUCUAGAGGUUAGAGAUUGAAUUAAAGUCUUGCAAAACAUCUUUAAAAUUUUUUUAUUUAUUAAAUUAUAUAAAGACAAUUGAAACUAAAGUAGUAAUUUCCCUACUCCUUUAAAAAAAAAAAAAGAUAAUUAAGCAAUUGAAACACAAUGAAAAAACUCAAUAGUAAUUUUUCAUACUAACACCAUCAAGUGCAAGGAUUCUUCUCGCAAGGAGGAAAUACUUCAUCUUUAUCAAUCACAUGCCAUUGUUUUAGAGAUUAAUUAAUUUUCUAAAAUAAAUUAAAAAAUAAUUAAAUUCCAAUAUAAGAAAUAUGUACCCAAAAAAAAACAAGUAAUCUAAUAGUAAACAAGAAGGGAUUUACAAAAAAUACUAUAUAUAAUUUAAUUAUAGAGGUCUAAAUGAAAAUAAUCAUUAAAUAAUGAAUGACGACAAAAAUAAUACUUAAUGUAUUGGAAAAAAUAAUAGACACAUGUAGCAAUUUCAUUGAAUAAAUAUUUUUGUGAGGACUAUCAAAUAUUAUCUUAUUCUCUCAUAUAUAUAAGUACUAGUUAUAUUAGGCCUGUGCUAAGCCCGGACCCAAACUCAUGAGAAUAAUAUUUUAAUAAAAAUAUAAUAUGUAUCAUAUCUUCUUAAAGCACAAUUAUAAAUUUAAUGACAUAUUAAACAUGUGUUGUUGAUAAGUUCUCAUAACUAUUAAAAAAUUUUAGUUAUUUAAUUAUAUGAUUUUUGAGCAAAAAAAUGAUUUAUGAGAAAGGAUGUUUGGUAGGAGGAUGAACAAAUACAAACAACUUCAUAUUUUGUAAGUAACACGAUUUAAAUUAUAUAAAAUAGUUAUAAUUCUAUGAAAAUCAUAAAGUAAAAAAUAUGGACAUUUUAAUGAUUUGUGAGCAUAUAAGUUUUUAUUUAUUGAUAAUAAAAUGAUUAUUUUAACAUUUAUUAAGUUUUAGUUUCGCUCAUAAUAUUUUACGGGAUAAAAAUUUAAGCUUGUUAAAUUUGAUGAUUUAAAUCUAGUAUUAGCUAAAAUUAAGGAAAAAUCAUUGAAUGAACCUCAAGAAUCAAUUUAGUUUUUUAUAUAUGGUUUAUGAAUAAAAUAUUAAUUAUCAAUUUAAUGACAAGUUGAUCUAACUUAAUUUAGCUUUAAAAUUUAAUUAAAGUGACUAUUAAAAAGUAUCACAUAAAUUGAAAUAAAAAAAAAAGAAUAAGUUCUAAUAAUGCUUCAGUUGAAAAUGUAACGUAUAUAGCUUCAAAAUUGACUAAAUUUUACAAAAAUGCAUAAUGACAAAUAUGUAAACAUAAUUUAAUACUUCUUUCGAUUCAUAUUUAUGGUGUUUUUAGCUUGAAUAUAGUUCCUGCGAAAUCAAUUACCCUUAUAAAAUUAAAAAAAAAUAUUUAUUAAAUUAUACUCAUUUAAGUAGUAUCAAUUUAAUAUUAUUUCUUGAUUGCGUAAAAUUUUAUUUAUUUAUAUAAUAUUAAUUUGAGUUUUCUUAUUAAUAUAUUUUAAAUUAUCUAAAAAUUUAUUUUUAAUUAAAUCUAAAACUCAAAAUACCAUAUUAUAAUAUGAAUAGGGGGAAGAAAAUAAUAUUCACAAUAAGUUUUUUUUUCAUUCGAUAUUCGAUGCUCGUACUGAAUCCCCGACUAAUUCAGAUCACGCGUUGCAGGACCUAUUAAAGUGAUAGCGCUCCCAACAUAUUCACAAUAAGCUACGGAUGAAACCUAAAAUACCAUAUAAUAUAUGAAUAGUACCAUGAAUAGGGAGAAGAAAGAAAAAGAUAUUAUUCACAAAAAGUUAGUGGGCCAUAAGAAAAAAACAACAACAAAACUCAAGAGUAUGCCCACUUGUAUUUUAUCAACCAAUUGAAACAUUUAAAAGUAUUCCCAAACUGACCCUAUGAGGACGACCAAAAAGGCCAUCCUCACUUAUAUAUAGUAUAAUAAUUGCAUGAGAGGUGGUCGAAACCACCUCUUCUAUAUAAUAUGUAAUAAAAAUAGAAAUAUAUAUAUAGUAAUUGCAUGAAAGGUGGUCGAAACCACCACUUCUAUAUAAUAGAAAAGAAAUUAUAUAUAUAUAUAUUAUAUAUAUAUAGUAAAAUCGGGGAUUCAAUAUUACUAAUUUUUCAAUACAUAAGUGACUUAUAAUAAUUAAUUGCGGGUGAUACAUUAAAAUCACGAUUGAAGCAGUAGAAAUCAGUCAAUUUUUUUUCUUAAUUAUUGUUAUUUACAGUACUUUUUAUUUCAUUUUCAAAUAAUANNNNNNNNNNNNNNNNNNNNNNNNNNNNNNNNNNNNNNNNNNNNNNNNNNNNNNNNNNNNNNNNNNNNNNNNNNNNNNNNNNNNNNNNNNNNNNNNNNNNNNNNNNNNNNNNNNNNNNNNNNNNNNNNNNNNNNNNNNNNNNNNNNNNNNNNNNNNNNNNNNNNNNNNNNNNNNNNNNNNNNNNNNNNNNNNNNNNNNNNNNNNNNNNNNNNNNNNNNNNNNNNNNNNNNNNNNNNNNNNNNNNNNNNNNNNNNNNNNNNNNNNNNNNNNNNNNNNNNNNNNNNNNNNNNNNNNNNNNNNNNNNNNNNNNNNNNNNNNNNNNNNNNNNNNNNNNNNNNNNNNNNNNNNNNNNNNNNNNNNNNNNNNNNNNNNNNNNNNNNNNNNNNNNNNNNNNNNNNNNNNNNNNNNNNNNNNNNNNNNNNNNNNNNNNNNNNNNNNNNNNNNNNNNNNNNNNNNNNNNNNNNNNNNNNNNNNNNNNNNNNNNNNNNNNNNNNNNNNNNNNNNNNNNNNNNNNNNNNNNNNNNNNNNNNNNNNNNNNNNNNNNNNNNNNNNNNNNNNNNNNNNNNNNNNNNNNNNNNNNNNNNNNNNNNNNNNNNNNNNNNNNNNNNNNNNNNNNNNNNNNNNNNNNNNNNNNNNNNNNNNNNNNNNNNNNNNNNNNNNNNNNNNNNNNNNNNNNNNNNNNNNNNNNNNNNNNNNNNNNNNNNNNNNNNNNNNNNNNNNNNNNNNNNNNNNNNNNNNNNNNNNNNNNNNNNNNNNNNNNNNNNNNNNNNNNNNNNNNNNNNNNNNNNNNNNNNNNNNNNNNNNNNNNNNNNNNNNNNNNNNNNNNNNNNNNNNNNNNNNNNNNNNNNNNNNNNNNNNNNNNNNNNNNNNNNNNNNNNNNNNNNNNNNNNNNNNNNNNNNNNNNNNNNNNNNNNNNNNNNNNNNNNNNNNNNNNNNNNNNNNNNNNNNNNNNNNNNNNNNNNNNNNNNNNNNNNNNNNNNNNNNNNNNNNNNNNNNNNNNNNNNNNNNNNNNNNNNNNNNNNNNNNNNNNNNNNNNNNNNNNNNNNNNNNNNNNNNNNNNNNNNNNNNNNNNNNNNNNNNAUUAAUAUAAAUUAAUAGAAUAUAUUAAAUAUUUAAAUCAUUAUGAUGAAAUAAUGAAAUUAUUAUAUAUUGAGACAUAACAUAUAAUUAAAUGAAAGUGGAGGAGUUUUUUGAUAAUUGCAUGAGCGGUGGUCGAAACCAUCUCUUCUUCUCUAUAAUAGAAAAGAAAAGUUUCCUCUUUACUGUACAACAAACAACCCCUUAACUAAUAUAUGUUGAAAAUGAAGUAAUUCAACUGGUUUGAGCAAAUAUGCCCCUAGGCCUAGAGCCUGCAAAAUGAUUUUACUACUUAGCUUCUUCAAUCCACGUGUGAGACAACUGAAAUUUUGAGAAUUCACUUCGAUUGAAUUUUUUUUAUAUACUUGUUAAAUAAUUAAAAUUAUUAAUUAUUAUAAUUAAUGAAACUAACAUAAUUUUUCAAAAUAUAUAAAUUUUGUGUUUUUUAAAAAAUUAAAAUUUAUAUAUUUAAAUACACGAUCUAAAUAUUAAAAAUAAAAAAGCUAUUGAUAACACAUGUUAUAUAUUGAGCUCCGACUAAAUUGAACGUACAAUGUAUUUAUUUCUCGUUUAGCAUUUAAUAUUUGUCUUGAAAUUUUUAAAUUUGAGACCCCUAGUUCGGUGUGAGUAGGGCUGGGCAUUAGGUAUUUGGUUUGGUAUUUUCAAAGUUUGAGUUCGGUAAUUCGGUAAUUCGGUAAUCAAAAUUUGAACAUAAAUACCACAUACCAUACUUAUAAACAUCGGUUUAGUAGUUCGGUCAUCGGUAAAUUAAACUUCGAUUCGGUACGGUAUUUGAUAAUACCAUAUUAAAGUUGGAGAUGUGUAAAUGUACGUUUAAACUUCAAAGAGUAUAUUUAAUAGAAACCUCAUUUAGUAUUUUUUUUUUUUUUUUUUUACGAAUAUAUUACCAAAGUCCAAGAAAUUCUUUAGAAUAACUAGUACUAUUGUCAAUUGGGAUGGGUUUUAUAUAUAUUUGAUAUUCGGUAAAUACCAAAUACCAAACGGUAUUAAUAUCUUGUACCAAACCUAAUUCCGAAUACCGAAAUAUUGAAACUUUACUCCCAAAUACUAUAUCAAAUACCGAAUUAUCGAAUAUCAAUUACCAAUUUUCACGAUUCGAUUUAGUAAUUCAAUUUUUGAUAUUUUAUGCCCAGUCCUAGAUGUGAGGAUCUCUUCAUCAUGACAAUUUGCCGUACGUUGAAGUAAUUCAAAUUUAUAGUCGAUGUAAAUUUACUUUCUCUGCCCAUCUUUAUUUAUUUAUUUAUAAUUGACCUAUUAUAUACCUUAAAAAAUAAUUGAUAGAAAUAACUUUUAUAUAUAAUUCUUUAAAUAUAACAAAUUUAUUAGUUAGGAAAUGAAUUAUAAUGUACACAUUAUUUAAUAGUAAAGAUAAAAUAAAUAUAAAUUAAUAAAUUAUUUAUUAAUUGUUUAAAUUAAAAAGUAUUAUUAAUUAUAUAUUUUUAAUAUAUGGAUCAGAUAAAGAUGGACGGAGUGAGAAUCUUUAGUAGCCGUUUGGCUAUGAAAACUAAAAUUUUUCGGAGUUGGAGUUGAAGCUGGAGUUGAAAUUGGAGUUGGAGUUGUGUUUGACCAUGUAUUUUUUGAUUAUUUUUUUUUUUACUUUUGAAAAAAAAAAUUUAAAUAUAAUUUUAUGCCCCAACUUUUACAAACUAUCAAAAUCACCUAACUAAAAUUUACCUACUAAUGUAAAAAGAACACAAUUAGCUACUUUUACAAAAAUAAUUACACAUACAUGGCCUUAUUUAAUGUAUUUCAAUUAUGACAUAUAUAAUAUUUACAUUAAUAACCGUUUUCUCAUAUUUAAAAAUUUUAAAUAUGGAUGCUAUAUUAACAAAUUACUGUUUCCUAUUUUUUAGGUAACAAAUAUUAUCUUUCAAACAAAUUUAUUUUUUUAGGAAUUUAUUUAAUUUAUAUCUUUUAUUUUUCGUUCCUUAAAAAAUAGAAAAUGAUGAGUUGUUAUUAAAUUUUAGGGUGCCGCUAAUUUAUUUCUUUAAUUUUCUUAUACGUGAAAGAUUUUAUUGUGUGUGAAUUAUUUUUAUGUAAAACAUACUUUGCAUAUUUAUGAUAUAUUAUAUCAUAUACCAUAAAUAUAUAAAUAUGCUUAGUAUGUUUCUUUACUUUGUAUAUUUAUAUAUGUGUAUUUGGUAUAUACAUGGUAUAAACUUCAUAUAUAACAUACUUUGUAUAUUUAUGCUAUAAAUAUAAUACUUUAUAUAUUUAUGGGUAUAAAUAUAAUACUUUGUGUAUAAAGAUAACAAGUAUCAUGGUAUAUAAAGGUAGCAGUUGCAGUUUAAGGUAUAAAUUUGUUAAAUUGGACAUAUUUUUUUAUGAAAAAUAUGUAUCACCGAUUUAUAUUUUUAGCAUAUAUAUGGCAUAAACAAUUUAUAUUUGAAUAGUAUAAUAAAGAUAUACACAAUAUAAUAUAUAUAAUCAAAUUAAAAAUGAAAAUAAUUUGUGGCAGUGGUAAACUAAUCUGCUACAACUUUAUUAAUUUCAUAAAUAUAGAAAACAAUUAUCCAUUAUUAAUUACACGACUAUAAUUCCUUAAACGUUCGUAUCACAACAGAAAAAUUAUUAUUAUUAUUAUUAUAUUAUAGUAAUUAGGAUCAUUAGCAGUAAAAUAAUGUCUUAAAUAAGGGAAAAAAAUAAUGAUGAGAGAGAAAAAAAAUAUAUCUUACUUAAGAUAAUAUUAAGUUUGAAAUUAUAAUUAUCUUAUACUUUAAAACUACUAUAUACGUAAUAUUAAAAAAGUAAUGUUAUAAGAAGAGUUUUAUGUAAAAAUUUAAAAGAUUAGGAUUAUAUGUAAUAAUACUAAAAAUUGAAAUUGGGGUUGGAAAAUUGGGAAAACACCCAAAAACUUUCCCUUUUCAGAAAAAUUUUCUGAAAUUAUUUUUCAAAUUUUCAUGACCAAACAUCAUAAUUUCUAACUCCAAAAUUUUUUUUCGAAAAAAGAGAAAAAGUUUUCAUGGCCAAACGGGCUCUUAGCGGUGCUGUUUUUUGCUUUCAUCCCUUGACUUGGAUGAAUGUUGUUUACUGAAACGGCAGGUGCCACGUAACGAGACAGCUUGUCAUCUAAUUGUCCCUUAUCACAUUGUGUAUCCAACAUGUCAUCUGAUUUUUCUCAUUUUGCAUUUAGUUUUGUCCAUUGGAUUGUUGGACCAAAUUAAUUACUCAUCCUCAUAAAUAAAAACAAGAUAGCAGAAUCUCAAAGAGCAGAAUCCAGAACAAAAAAAAAAAAGAAGCAUAGAAAGCAUGAAAAGAUGGAGAAAGGGACAUGGAGAUUCGAGUAGCACAACAAAAAUGGAAAUUGUACAAUAAUGGAAACUUGUGGAAAUAUUGGAUUAGGGCUAAAAAAGAAGAAGGAAAUUGGGAGAAGGAAGUUGGAAAUUAAGAGAAUUCAAGAUAAAAAUUGUAGACAAGUUGCUUUCUGUAAACGCAGACAAGGUCUUAUCAAGAAAGCCAAUGAACUUUCAAUUCUCUGCAAUGUUGAUGUUGGUGUUGUUAUAAUCUCCAAAAAUGGCACUGGCAGGCUCCAUGAAUACUCUAGCACUAACAGGUAUAUAAAAUAAUUUCAAGCAGGAUCGGAUAAAGUGUGAUAUCUCAUAAUUAAAUUUGAGAUUAGGUUUAUAUAUAGGAUAACAAGUAUAUAUCUGAAAUGUUUAUUUAGUUCUCAUUUUGCAAGUAAUACACACGGAUGUCAUGGACAAUACGAUUGGGAAUGGGCAUCCAAAUAAUUUGAAAUUUUAAUCAUUUUUCAGAAUGAACUUACUUUUUUCAAUAUAGAACUGUUUGAUAAAGUUAUGAACCAAUUGUCCCACAUUGGAAAAAAUGAGAAAUGCUAAGGGAAUUAUAAGCCAAAUAAGUUCUCCCACCUAUUAGACUACCUAUUAGACUAGUCUUUUGGGUUGGGCCCUCCCGUUUGGUUUAUAACAUUGAUGCUUUCAUUGAGAGUCCCACGCGUUGGGCCGUGACUCGGAGUGGUGGUCUGAACAACUGGACGUAGCCGUGACCAACGAGGAUCGAUCCACGUGUGGGGAGCCCGCACAUUGGGACUACACUCGUAGUGGUGGCCUAUGGACCCAAGAAAGGUGUCAGCCGUGACCAACAAGGAUCGAUUCACGCGUGGAGCCACAAUUAGGAGUGGUGGCCUGUGCGCUAGGAGUGGUGGCCUGGACCUAAGAGGGGUGCCAGGCAUGACCAACUGGGCUAAGCCGUGACCAACGAGGUCGUUGGUUCUCAAGUGGAGACGAUUGUUAUGAACCAAUUGUCCCACAUUGAAAAAAAAAAAGAAAUGCUAUAAGCCAAAUGGUUUCUCCCACCUAUUAGACUAGUCUUUUGGGUUGGGCUCUCCCGUUUGGUUUAUAACAGAUAAACCAACAGGAAUAACUCGAUCUACAAAUCCUAAUCAACCAAUGACCUAACACUACUAGAAUCCUCAAGAGGAAGUUUUACGAAAAAUCCCAAGUCAAAUAAUUCAAAGGCAAUUCAAAUCUCACAAAUUCACAACAUGCUAAUUAGUAUAAAGUUACUAAUUAUAUUUAUAGUCAGGCUAAAUUAUUGCAUAGAAGUGCUUAGUUAAGUAAGGGGUCAUGCCCCCUUGAAUGCAAACACGAAGUGUUUUCAGACAAAGAAGUAGACAACAAGAUCAAAUUUUGACCCGAUCAUUAUUUAUGGAAAGAAACAGAAGGAAGAAGGACAACAGAGUUGGAGAGUCAAGUGAGGUCCCAUCGAGGUUCCAGUCCGCGACUCUGUUAUUACAUUAGAAAUAAACAUUACAAGUUAAAACAUAAAUGAAAUUAUAAAAACUCUUAUCUAUGCAACUUUUCUUGACUCCUGACUCGCUACUUCAUCACCCUGUUCUUCAAGCGGGCUCCUAACUUGCAAUUUCUUCAACUUGUUGCUUGCCUUUCAAUUUCUUCACCCGGUUCUUCAUGCGGGUUCCUGACUUGCCUUUUUUCAACUGUUGACUUUUAAUUUUCUUCCUCUUGUUGCUUGUUUUUCAACUGCUUCACCUUGUUGCUUGACUUUCCAUGUAUUCGCCCUGUUCUUCAGGCGGGCUCCUGAAAUCACAUCAAAACUAAAAAAAAAAAUUAUCCCACACAAAGAAAUACAUCUUCUAUAAGUUAAUUGGAAUGAUUCGACUAAAAGAUAUGUCUUAUAGGAAUCAAAGGAGAUGACUCGACUAAAAGGUACAUCUUAUAGGAAUCAAAGGAAAUGACUCAACUUAAAGGUACAUCUUAUAGGAAUUAAGGAAAUGACUCGACUAAAAGGUACAUCUUCUAGGGGUCCAGGGGAAUGACUUGACUAAAAGAUAUGUCUUACAGGAAUCACAGGGAAUGACUCGACUAAAAGAUACGUCUUCUAGGGGUCAAGGGGAAUGACUCGACUAAAAUGUACGUCUUAUAGGAAUCAAAUGAACGACUCGACUAAAAGGUACGUAUUCUAGGGGUCAAGGGGAAUGACUCGACUAAAAGGUACGUCUUUUAGGGGUCAAGGGGAAUGAUUCGAGGUACGUGUUCUAAGAGUCAAGGGGAAUGACUCGACUAGAAGGUACGUCUUAUAGGAAUCAAGGGGGAUAACUCGACUAAAAGGUACGUCUUAUAGGAAUCAAAGGAGAUGACUCUACUAAAAGGUACGUCUUGUAGGAAUCAAGAAAGAUGACUCGACUGAUAGGUACGUCUUAUAGGAAUCAAAGGGAAUGACUCGACUAAAAGAUACGUCUUAUAGGAAUCAAGGGGAUUAACUCGACUAAAAGGUACGUCUUAUAGGAAUCAAAGGGAAUGACUCGACUAAAAGAUACGUCUUAUAGGAAUCAAGGGGAUUGACUCGACUAAAAGGUACGUCUUAUAGGAAUCAAAGGAGAUGACUCGACUAAAAGGUACGUCUUAUAGAAAUCAAGAGAGAUGAAUCGACUAAUAGCUACGUCUUAUAGGAAUCAAAGGGAAUGACUCGACUAAAAGGUACGUCUUAUAGGAAUCAAGGGGAUUGACUCGACUAAAAGGUACGUCUUAUAGGAAUCAAGGGGAUUGACUCGACUAAAAGGUACGUCUUAUAGGAAUCAAGGGAGAUGACUCGAUUAAAAGAUACGUCUUAUAGGAAUCAAAGGGAAUGACUCGACUAAAAGGUACGUCUUAUAGGAAUCAAGGGAGAUGACUCGAUUAAAAGAUACGUCUUAUAGGAAUCAAGGGAGAUGACUCGACUAAAAGGUACGUCUUAUAGGAAUCAAGGGGAUGACUCGACUAAUAGGUACGUCUCUUAGGAGUGAAGGGAGAUGACUCGACUAAAAAAUACGUCUUCUAGGGGUCAAGGGGAAUGACUCGACUAAAAGGUACGUCUUAUAGAAAUCAAGGGAGAUGACUCAACUAAAAGGUACGUGUUAUAGGAAUCAAUGGGAAUGACUCGACUAAAAGCUAUGUCUUAUAGAAAUCAAGGGACUCGACUAAAAGGUACGUCUUCUAGGAGUGAAGAUUCAAUUUAAGAAGUGUAUCACCUAGCAAAUAAAAACUGAAAUCCCUGGACAAGAAAGUGUCUCCGAGGGAUAAAGGAUGUGAAUUUUACCAUGACUUGAUUAUCAAACCUGUGCAGCAACAUUGCUUCCUGCUUUUGUAAAAGUGAGGCAUUGCAGCCCUUGAUGUUUAUGCUUUGGAGUCCUUGCUUUGAAGGUAAUAUGUUUCCUGUUUUAUCAAAGAAAACUUGUGAGUUUAAAAACACGGUGACUGGUUUGUGGCUUUAGCUUUCGCGGCGAUCGCUCUUGUCCUCAUCACAUUUAACCUUGCUUCCAACUGUUAGCAUGCAUCAUUGACCCAAACUUAGGUUAUUAAGAGUGACUCUGAAACAAACACAAUAUUUCUCCUUUGCCAUGUUUUCUCAGAUAAACCCUUUGCGCCUUGGUAUUUCCAUGGGUUAACAGACUUGUCUGUUGACAAAACUUUUUGCAUGUUUUUUUUUUCAGCUUACAAUCAUGUCUCUUUCAUGCGUUGGCCUUUCUAUCUUACUUUGUAAAAUUGAAGAAGCUGGUAGUCAGUUUUGGAAACUUUUCUCCCUUGUUUUGACAUAGACUUGACUCAAAGACAAGAGAAAAAAUGACAAUGAUUUUUUAUUUGGUUAACUGACUCAAGAAAAUAAAAUAAAAAUAAAGAGAAAAGGAAAAGACAUUGAAUGUCCCUCUUUGAAAAAAGAAAUGAAAAUUUAUCUAGAAAAGACAGUUAACUCUAAUUAUUAUGUCAUGCAUUUUGGAUUAAGCUGCCUGAUCUUUCCAUCCAAUUUUCUACCAAUUGCUGUUGAGUUAAUGGCCUUGAAACCGAAUUGCUUCCUUAGGCCAAAUUCAUUCGGAAACCUUAUUCGGCUAGUGGCGCCUUGAAGGGUUUUUGCUGACAAACCUGUUUAUUUUUCUCAGUUCACCAUUGCCUUAUGGUGCCCGUGAUGGUUUUCACCAAUAAGACUCAUUUUUAUUUCUCUCAACUGACCAUCGCCUUAUGGUGCCCGUGAGGCUUUUCACCAAUAAGACUCUCUCAUUUUUAUUUCUCUCCUGAUUUCUUAUGCUGAGAAAGACAAGUAGUACCUAAAAUGCAUCAUCAUAUCCAUUGCAUACUUAGCCUUAACAUCAGUAAGUGUGUAUAUAUUGUUCUCAUUUUUCUUUGUAAAGAAAAAAUGCGAGGGGGUUAUGAGGAUGGGUUAGUGGGGGUAGGGUAUAGGGUAGGUGGGGUAGGGUGAGUUGGUUAGGAUAAGAUUUGUUAGGAAUUUUGUUAAGGGUUCUAUUUUUUUGCAUUUUUAUGGGAUAUAAUCAUACGAGUGAGGACACACAGUAAGACAGAGGUAAAAUGGUAAAAGUGCUAUCGGGGAGGGACAAAAUUAGGUGUCUACAAGGGGAAAGGACAGAAACGACACUUCAAAUAAAACUAUUUCCACGGAAAUGACCAUGGAAUUUAAAUUUCACUUUCUAGUCAUUUAUUUAUUGGCUUGUUCUAUACCAUUUCUACACACCUUCUACACAGUUUCUAUACAUAUCUUAUACAUAUAAAUAUUCUAUACGAAAAUUAUACAAUUUCGAUACACAAUUUAUAUAAUAAUUGUACAUUUUUUGUACAUAUUUUAUACAAUAAUUAUAUAAUUUUUAUAGACUUUCUAUAUAUUUUAUCAAUAUACAUAUUUGAUAGAACUAUACAAUUUCUAUACAUAUAUCUUAUAAAGAUACGUAUGCUAUAUAACAAUUACACCCUUUUUAUAUAAUUAUAUUUAAUUAUUGUUUCUAAAUUAUAAAAAAAAAGCAGUAUAUUUUUUCAGCUAAAAAAUUUAUAACAAAAAGAAAAACUGAAAUAUUUUUAGCAGGGCCGAAUGGCCCAAGUUGAAAACUAUAUCAAUAUUGUAUAUGAACUGUAUCAAUAUGGUAUAUGGACUGUGUCUGAACUACAUGGGUCAAAAUGACCCAAAUUAGGAAAUGACAAUAAAGUGGAAAUAGUAUACCCGAUUGACCACUUUUUGAAAAAAUGUCAAACUUGGACUUUUUGUUUUAAAAAGUACUAAACAAUGUCCUUUUCCCGUUAAAUAAUCCUAAGAUAGGCCCAAAAGUGUCAUUAGCCACUUUCGGAAAGUUCAAUUAUUGCCCCGUAGUACCACUAUCGCGGUUAAGUGUAUCACAAUCAUGAUAUGGCAAUGUUGGAAGAUAUCCUUCUCAGUGUUCCCGCUUAUUGUCUCAUAUUCACAAUGCACUAUGCUUUUUGUGCAAGAAAAUCAAUCGGGGAAUCCUCCUCCGCAUUUAAGUUUUUAACAUCGUGGUUGCGAUGCCCUGCAAUUUAGUUCCUUAGGAUCACGAUCUUCAUCCCGUGAUCACAACAGUCUACUUGAAGCACAAAAUAUGGGGUUGAAGCCUGUUGUCCAAUGAUUCCCAAAUUAGCUCCAAGCUUUGUUUCUCCAUCUUCCAAUCAUUCCAACAGUUGUAGCAUAAGAUGGAAUUUUCCAAAGGAUCAUUAAACUAAGUAUGGUUAAUAUCAACACAAGUACAACAAAUCCUAUCAACGUCAUUUUUCAUCUUAGGCCAAAAUAAGUGUUCUUGAAGAAUAGCAAAAGCUUUAAGUAUAUACCCAAAUGUCUCAUUAGACCCUCAUUAAGUGCCUCUCUGGCCAAAAUAAGUGUUCUUGAAGAAUAGCAAAAGCUUUAAGUAUACCUAAAUGUCUCAUUAGACCUCCAUCAUGUGCCUCUCUAAUAAGUAUCUUUCUCCAAGGAUAUUGAAACUGAAUACACUUUACCAUCUCUAAGCAAAUAACCAUAUCUUAGAAAGCCUUUCAUUGACCAACCUUUACUAUUUACAAAGUCAAUCUGAUGCUCGAUUCCCCCCAAAGGUGGUAGCUCCCUUGGCAACUUACUGGGAAUAACAUCUUUAUUAUCUUGGAAAAAAUAAUAGCAACAAUACUUGGGCAAAGAGAGGGUCAAUUCAUUAGUAGUAAAAAUAAAAUUUAAUUUUUAUGUAGAAAAAGCAUAAUAGAAGGAUUUUGUUCAACCUCUUUCAUUACUUUUUGACUAACCAACAUAUUCAUUUUUCCAUUAAAUUUUCCAUAAAGGUGGAUUUUCUUUCAUAUUCACACUUCUUAUAUCCUUUGACGUGCAACACUUCUUACUCCCUUCUCUCUUUCUCUCUUGCUUAUUUUUUGCAUUUUCUAGUCUCAAUCCAUUCAUUUUCUUGCAAUAUUGACAAACCUCUAAAAGAGUCAGAAGGUAAAAGAGUGAAUUUAUGAUCAUUUUAACAUGAAAAUGCUUUUUGUCUUUCAUUAUACCUUGCAUAUCUAUCAUAUUGUUAAUGUCGACCUAGAUGCAAAUGAAAGCUUGCAUUUGGCUCUACAUCACACCAAUUUUUCCUAGUUCAUUGCUAUCUUGGAAACUCCAAGUUCUCACAAUCGUUCGAACAUUGGAAACUUCUUUUCAGGACACCCCUCAUUUCAUUCCAAUGGCAAUUAGUAACAAGGCCAAGCAUAGUUGGUUCUUAAUUUGUCUCUUGUAAGAUUUCCCCCAAAUAGAGGCAAACCUUUCAAAUUGAGAGAUGACGCGCUUGACCUUGAUGGAGUUUGACAUAUUGUUGACUUAAAAAAUGCUUUCACUCUUGAUUACCCAAUACAAUUAUUCUUUUGGGUUACUGGUUCUUUUGAAAGGUAGAAGUUACAUUGAUGGUGUUCAACCUUGGUAGGGUUGGUGCUUAGAUAGCUGUUGGUAGGGUUGUUUGUAAGGGUAUUGGUAUUGUGGUUGUUCAUAAGGUUAUUGUUGGUAUGUUGUAGUUAUGGAUAUUGUAAUGAUCUAGUGGGGAUGCCUUAGAAGGAUUCUAUCUUUUUUAACAUGGGUGAUCGACCUUGUUGCAACACUUUAUGUAGUUGGUUGAGUAGUUGGUUGAGUGGUAGUGGUAUGAGAAAAAUAAUCGGGGUUCGACUCUUUCACUGCUCUAUGGACCAUCCGUAUGCUUGUACCAGCUCCUUGGUUUUGUCGAUAAGCAUUGGUACUAACCUAAGGAGUAAUGUAAUGAUCCUACUUAGUAUAACUUAGCAUAUUUUAAUUAAGCAAAUAAAGAAACGCUGGCAGUGGGGAUCGUAGUUGAAGCACAGAAGGAGUGACUAACUCGCUAACCUGGACGGCUGAGAUUUAAUUGUUAUUAAUGAGGUGCAAGGGUGGAGAUCAUGCCACUUCGCCAGAAGUCAUUAUAUAACGACUAGUGGAGAGAGAAAACACCAACGAUAAUCUGGUAUUUCCUCUCCUUUCUCGUGCUCUCUUCCUCUCUUCUCUCCUCUAAAUUUCUGAUCCUCCCCUUCUCUUCUCUGCAGAUUCAAGAACUUCCAUGGAUGCCUAUCUAUCCUAGUUAUCGUAGAUUAAUUCAGUUCUUAAUUUCCUUGUAAUUGAUAUCCAUUUUUCAUGUUUUUGAAGUAAAUUGAAAAUUGUCCCAAAAAUUUUGAAUUGUUUUACUUUUAUUGUUGCUGAAUUUAGUCAGAUCCUGAUUGGGAUCCUGACAAUCGGUAUCAGAGCCAUGGUUCCGUGCGACCUGUGUGGUGAAGAUGGCUGAGGGCACUCGCUUCAAGCUGGUGGAUGAUCGACUUUUAGACAUGAUGAAAUUUUGAAACGAAUUGCUAAUUAAUCAACAGAAAGUGCGUAACACUCAAAUAGGAAUUCAAGGAACCUUAGAGCCGCUCUUAGACAGGCUAACAACUCUUGAGAGAGUACCGAAUAGAUCUCAGGGUGAACACCAAUAAGGAGAUGGGAUACUUCCUAAUUCGCCUCAGGAAAACAAACAAAACAGGCUACAAAUGGUGCCAAUUCUCCCUCCUAAGUGGGAAUUACCCAGUUUUGAAAGUCAUGAACCCAAGGUGUGGUUCCGUAAAUGUGAAAGGUAUUUCACUAUAUACAAAACAUUGGGCAAUCUUAAGGUUGAUGCAACUGCGUUGUAUUUGAAUGGGGUAGCAGAGACUAGGUAUUAUUCUCUAGUACUGAGUAGAGGUGUGGUUAAUUGGGUAGAGUUUAAGGAAGAGCUAAUUAGCAGAUUUGAUGAUGAAUUACUGGAUGAUAUAGUGGAACAAUUUAAUAGACUCUCUCAAACAAGAUCAGUGGAUGAAUUUCUUGCUAAAUUUGAAGACCUCAAGGCUCAAAUGCUUGUGAGGAAUCCACGCCUCAAUGAUGCUCACUUUCUAUCCAGUUUUGUAGGGGCUUUGAAGGAAUAGAUUCGAUUUGCUGUUAAGAUGUUCAAACCAGCUACACUUAAACUUGCUAUUGAAAAAGCUAGGAUGCAGGAGAAGGCCAUAGAAGCUGUCCAGAGGAGAAAUAAGGUCAUAAACAAGCCCACUAGUGUUGUAAGCCACAAUCCUAAUACCAAGGUAGGGGGGAGCUUAACCACUAAACCUAAUACAUUUAAAUUGAGUUCAGAAGUUUAUGAGUACAAGAAGAAACUAUGUUUUAGGUGUGGUGAUAAGUAUCUCGUUGGUCAUCAAUGUAAACAAAAACAACUGAAUUAUUUGAUGGGAGAAGUAGAGUCUGUUAAAGAGAGACCUGGAGAGAUAGAGGAUCCUUCCUAUUCGGAUGUGAUUAUUGAAGGAGAAUUAGACCAGGAAGUUCAGGAGGUCGUAUGCUUAAAUGCACUAUCAGGUAACAAUCAAGGGGUGAACAUUAUCCUAGUCAGUGGUAUUGUGAAGAAUAGAGCACUCACCUUGUUGAUCGACUCUGGAAGCACUUAUAGCUUUCUUGAUCAAAACACUGUUAUUGAAGCAGACUAUCAAGCUAGCUAUUGUGCACCAAUAAGGGUAAUAGUAGCUGACGAAAACUAUGUAAUGUGCACCUCUCAAUGCAAAGGGUUCUUGUGAAAAAUACAAGGAAGAUCCUUUCAAGAGGACCUGCUUAUUAUACCUCUUGGAGGGUGUGACAUGGUGUUGGGAAAUGACUGAAUGAAGAAGCACAAUCCCACUAAAUUUGAUCAUUAAAAAAAGUGUUACUAUUGGCAGGUUGAGCAACAAGUUAGUGUUAAAAGGAAUAGCUGAGGAAAGGAAGCUUAAUAUGAUCACUAGUGGUACUAUGAACAAGAUGUUAAAAAUGGGGCAAAAUCUCAUUGCUCAUUUGUUUAUGAUAAGGGCCGGUGACAACAGAACCCACAAGCUAGUGGAUGAUGCUAUAUUAAAGGUACUGGACCAGUAUCCAGAUGUGUUCAAGGAGCCAAUGACCCUGCCUCCUGUUAGGUUACUUGACCAUGCCAUUCCUCUCAAAUCAGGGGUUGUUCUGGUGAGUUUAAGGACUAGGUACACUUACUAUCAAAAGAAUGAGUUGGAGAAGCAAGUCACUGAAAUGAUCAACCAAGGCAUAGUUCAACCUAGUCAAUCUCCAUUCUCUUCACCAGCUUUAUUGGUCAAGAAAAAGGAUGGAUCCUGGAGAUUUUGUGUAGACUACAGGGGGUUGAGUGAGAUCACUAUAAAUGACAAGUAUCCAAUACCUAUAGUUGAUGACUUACUGGAUGAAUUGAAUGGUUCUGUGAAAUUUUCCAAAGUCGAUCUCAGGGUUGGAUACCACCAAACCAGGAUGAAGGCUGAGGAUGUCCAUAAAACUGCGUUUAGGACCCAUGUGGGUCAUUAUGAGUUCAAGGUGAUGUCAACCAAGUUUUUCAGCCAUUCCUCCGGAGGUUUGUCUUAGUAUUUUUUGAUGAUAUACUUAUUUAUAGUGUGUCCUUAAAGGAGCAUGUUGAGCAUCUGAUAGUUGUGUUUGAUACAUUAAGAAACCACUCUUUGUAUGCCAAGAGGUCUAAAUGUUCAUUUGGGCAACCUAAGGUGGAAUACCUAGGUCAUAUUAUUAAUAGAGAUGGAGUAUCUACUGAUCCUGCUAAGAUCAAGGCUAUGUUGGAGUGGCCUACUCUUAAGUCCUUGAAGGCUCUUAGAGGAUUUUUAGGGCUGACAGGUUAUUACAAGAAAUAUGUGUAUGGUUAUGGUGCAAUUUGCAGACCUCUUACAGCCUUGCUAAAAAAAAGAUGCCUUUAAUUGGAAUGAAGAAACUGAUAUAGCAUUUAAAGCUCUUAAAACUGCUAUGUCCUUAACACCAGUAUAAGUACUGCCUGACUUUGCCAAGGAAUUUGUUGUGGAAACAGAUGCUAGUCAUUAUGGUAUUGGUGCUGUACUUAUGCAAGAAGGCAAACCAGUGGCAUACUUUAGUAAAGUGUUAGCUCCAAAGCACAGGGGUAAAUCUAUAUAUGAAAAAAAGUAUAUGGCCUUGUUGAAUGCAGUGGACAAAUGGAGGCACUACCUCCAGUUCAAACACUUUGUGAUCAGGAGUGAUCAUCAUAGUUUGAAGUAUUUGAUGGAAGGGGCUUCCUAAAUUGUUGGGACUUGAUUAUGAGAUCCAAUACAAGAAGGGUGCUGAGAAUAGCAACGGGUUGCUGAUGCCCUAUCCGGACAAGAAGAUCAAGGACAACUCUUGGUUAUGAGUGUGAUGAUUCCAACUUAGAUGCAAGAGGUCACUAAUAGCUAUUCUGAGGAUCCUCAGGUGCAAGAAAAAAUUGUGCAAGUCAUUGUAGAUUUGCAAGAUCCUAGUUUAUGGCAUUAUACUUCUGGUGUUCUGAGAAGAAAAGGGAAGGUUUACGUUGGAGCUACUGGAGGCUUAAGACACCAGUUAUUUACUACAUUCCAUCCUUCUCCAAUAGGGGGUCAUUCAGGGCUGCUAGACACCCUCAAGAGACUGUCUCAACUCUUUUAUUGGCCUAACAUGAAACAAAUGGUCAAUGAUUUUGUUGCAGGUUGUGAAAUGUGUCAAACAAGUAAAGAUGAUAAUGCAGCUUAUCCUGGACUUUUGCAGCCACUACCUAUUCCUAAUCAAGCCUGGAGCCAAAUUAGCAUGGACUUUAUUGAGGGACUUCCUAAAUCUAGAGGCAAAGAGGCGAUCCUAAUAGUAGUAGAUAAAUUGACCAAGUAUUCACACUUUAUUGCUUUAUCACACCCUUAUACUGCUGUCACAGUAGCUGAACAUUAUUGGAAUAGGAUACAUUGUCUACAUGGUGGUCCUGAUUCCAUUCCAUAGUGACUGAUAGGGAUAGAGUUUUUCUUAGCCAUUUUUGGCAAGCUCUCUUCAAACUCUUGGGCACACAACUAUACUACAGCACGACUUACCACCCCCAAAGUGAUGGUCAUAUUGAGAGAGUGAAUAAAUGUUUAGAGAAUUAUCUCAGGUGCAUGGUGUCUAGCAGACCUACUCUUUGGGAGCCUUGGCUUACUGCUGCUGAGUGGUGGUAUAAUACUAACUUCCACACUAGCCUGCGGUGCACUCCUUUUGAAGCUUUGUAUGGGUAUUCACCUCCACAUCUGUCCAUGGGACCACUAAUAGAGACUAAUGUUCCAGCGGCUGAGGAUAUUGUUUUGAAGAGACAACAAAUGUAUCAACUUCUUAAGGACAAUUUGAGCAAAGCACAAGAGAGGAUGAAGCAUUAUGCCAAUAAGAGGAGAUCAGAAAGGGGUUCCUGGUGGGAGACAUGGUCUACCUUAAUCUUCAACCUUACAGGUAAACCUCUAUAGCAUUGAGAAAAAAUUUGAAGCUUUCGUCUAAAUAUUAUGGUCCUUACAAGGUCAUUUCCAGAAUUGGAUCAGUGGCUUACAAACUUGAAUUACCUGCAGACUCUAAAGUACAUCCUGUGUUCCAUGUAUCCCUUCUAAAAAAGAAGGAAAGUUCCAAGGUGGUAGUGCAAUCGACUCUGCCUAUUACCGCGGAUGAUGGUCAAUUUUUAGUCCAACCUGUGGCUAUUUUACAAAGACCGAUGAUUAAAAAGAAUAAUGUGGCUGGGGUGAAGGUUUUGGUUCAAUGGUCAAAUUUGCCGCCGGAAGAUGCUACCUGGGAAGACUAUGACUUCCUUAAGGCUAAGUUUCCUAAUUUUGAUUCUCAUCCUUGAGGUCAAGGAUGUUUUGAAGGAGGAAGAAAUGUAAUGAUCCUACUUAGUAUAGCUUAGCAUAUUUUAAUUAAGCAAAUAAAGAAACGCGGGCAGUGGGGAUCGUAGUUGAAGCACAGAAGGAGUGACUAAUUCACUGACCUGGACGACUGAGAUUUAAUUGUUAUUAAUGAGGUGCAAGGGUGGAGAUCAUGCCACGUCGCCAGAAGUCGUUAUAUAAUGACUAAUGGAGAGAGAAAACACCAACCAUAAUCUGAUAAUUUUCUCUUCUUCCUCGCGCUCUCUUCUCUCUCUUCUCUUUCUUUCUUUUUCUCUCCUCUAAAUUUCUGAUCCUCCCCUUCUCUUCUCUGCAGAUUCAAGAACUUCCAUGGAUGCCCAUCUAUCCUAGUUAUCGUAGAUUAAUUCAGUUCUUAAUUUCCUUGUAAUUGAUAUCCAUUUUUCAUGUUUUUGAAGUAAACCGAAAAUUGUCCCAAAAAUUUUGAAUUGUUUUACUUUUAUUGUUGCUGAAUUUAGUCAGAUCCUGAUUGGGAUCCUGACAAGUAACUUCUUUUUCUCCAAAGUGUUCACCCUUUGGUCAUGUUGUCAAACUGGACCUUCAAUUUUAUAAGAGCUCUAAUAACAUCACUUAGGGAUAGUUCACCUCUAAAAGUUGAGGUUUAUUCUCCGCCGUUUGUUAUACCUACGAGACAAGCAAACAAACAGAUAAUAACAAACCCUCAUCAAUCACUCCCUUAGUGUAUAUACACCAAUUCUAUUCCAAUCAAUCACAUGUUUAUCACUCGAAGUUUUGGCAUUUGUUCACUCGUUCGAUCUCCACUCAAGCCUUUUUCCGCCCAAAUUCCCUCAUAAUUCAAGCCUAGGCUUCACAUCAAGUUUCUUUCAUCUGUGGGCUGGAGUUGAGUUGAUGCGCAAGCAAGCCUUGGUAAUUUAAAGCUAAUUUAAAGCUGAAUUGGUCUUGAAACAAUGGAGUCCUGUCUAAGAUGAAGGAUAGUAAAAAGCUUAAAGGAAAAUUAGAAUGAAAAAGAGUAAUUAACACUCAAGAACUAGUUAAAUACAAGUAGAAACAAGUUACGAAGUGUUAAUAACUUAUAAUAACCAAAAGAGAUGAAAAAGAAGUGACAAAUCACAUAUUUGAACUCAAAAAUUGUGUUGCGUGUUUUCUACUUACCAUGAUUGCAAACUCCGCUAGAAUUGUGGAAUGUCUUUCGUGACAACGGAGAACUAGUGCUUCAUGUCCAAAAAUGAAUUUCCAUUACAAUGGUCGAAUUGUGGGUGUCCAAAUUCAGAUACGGGUUUUCGCUAAGAAAAUUUUGUAGCAACGCUCUAGACCACCACCGUUGAACUUGGGCCUUCACAAUUCCAGUGUUGAAUGUUGCGCUCGAAAGUUUAACAAGUUUUCAACUUCAGGUCAUUGUAGUUAGCUGCUUAAUUUUUCAAAUUUCUUAACCCAAAUUUGAUUUGAAUAGACUUUGAUCAACUCUAAACAUUGAAUACAAGUUCUUACAAAUGCUCCUAAGCAAUUUUUACAACCACUACUCAAAUCCACACAUUAAAUCUCGAAUUCAAGUCAAACCAACUUUAAAGCUUUCAAUAAUGGUGGUCUUGCAAAUUUUUCACAAUACUAGCAACAAGCAAAUCGACAACUUACAUAAGCUAGUUGUUGUAUCAACACAAUCCACAAGCAAAUCUCCCACUCGAUGUUUUUCCUUCUUCUACGAGCCUAUGUAAUCCAUGUUCCAUGAAAUGCUAUGAGUUCUCUAUGAUCGAGAUGCGUAUCCUUCAUAACUAUCUAUUUCGUAGUUGUUUCUUCCAUUGCUAGGUGCUUAUCAUGCCUCCAUGUCAUGUUCAUAAAUAUUUAUGGGAAUGUCUGAUGUCAUGAUGUUAAAAAGGCAAUUGAGGUAAGCAUUACUUUCUAACUUCUUCCAUGAGCUUAUAUUAAGCAUCCAAAGCUUAUUUCGAGGUCAGGACUCAUGGGAUGGUGAUUGAAAAAUGUUAGUCCACAUUGUGACCAUUGCAUGUUACGUGGCACUGUUUUGACCAUUGUAUAUUAUUGUUGGCUAAGGGAAAGGAUGGAUAAGGAGAAACACCAUUGUUUGGGGAUUUUGAAGUUUAGUGUUCAUUGGAUGUUUGGUAGAUUGUCCAUAUGACUUGGGCUCGACAUUUAAGUGCUAACAUAGUGGUCAAAUGUAUCGCGAUAAUGAUGUGGUGUUAGGUGGUCUUUCUAUGCGUUUGUUCUCAGUGUUUUGUGCUCGUGAUACUUUUGUGCUGGAAAGUCAAUUGGGAGUCAUUCUCCGCUCUUGCAUCUGUAACGUUGUGAUUGCGAUGCCUUACAAGGUCCUAGUUUCUCGUGGCCAUGGCCAGAUCAUUAUGAUUGUUGUAAUCUACCAGGAACACAAAAUCUAACACAAUCUACUUGUGAUGACUAUUUUCCAAGGUUUCCCAAAUCAACUCCGAGCUCUAUUUCACAACUUUCCUUCCAUUUCAAUAAUGUGUAGCAUAAGAUGAAAUCCUCCAAAAGAUCAUUGAAUAAUUUCCACUUCAUAUAAAGUAGUUCAUCUACUUGUAGCCCUUUUGCUUGGCCAUGCAUGAAUGACCUAGAUCAUUGAAUAAUUUCCACUUCAUAUAAAGUAGUUCAACUACUUGUAGCCCUUUUUCUUGGCCAUACAUGAAUGACCUUAAAAGGUGUAGCUGGAGGUCCGAGGUCAUCACAUGGAAAGUUACUUAAUGCGCUUUGAACCAUCACUUGUAAAACCUAUCACAUCUUGCAUCUCAACAAGGGGGUUAUAUAGAUCAAAUCCUAAUAGAUGAUCAACAAUGGCUACAUAUUGGAUUUUGUAUUCUACGAUUUCACCUUUAGAGUUUAUGUUUGCUAAGGAUAAAGAAAUGGAUCUUGGGUCUAACUCAACCCGAAAAGUUAACUCGUGAGGGGAGGGCUUCCCAAGUCCCAAGUCCAUAUAAGGAGACCAAUUGCCCAACCAUUUUUCGAUGUGGGACUCUUAAAACUCCCCGCACGCCCAAACCUUGUUAACCGGAGCAACAACAAUAUAAUAUGGGGCCCAACAUCCGUGAUUAAAGAAUUAGGAAGUGGGAUGGGCGUGGUUUGAUGCCAUGUAACUGAAUUUUGAGCCUAACUCAACUUAAAAAACUAGCGCAUAAGGGGAGAAUUGUCCAAAAUCCAUAUGACGAGACCAAUUGCUCAUUCAUUUUUCAAUGUGGGACUCUUAACACUAAGCUUAUUGAAUGGCUUUCUUUCUUCACGUCAUGAUCCAACUCUAGCACGUAGGCUACAAGGCACUCGAUGAGCUACUACUCAUAAGGUAACCACACUAAGCUAAAGCAUGUGAUAAUUAAGUAUUAAAGAGUAAUAAGUCCGCCCAACUACCCCAAGUAUACAUGUCAUGGAGAUACUAAUAUCUGGAAUACAAGAUACUAGACACAACUAGAUAAUAAUGAAGUGCUAAGUCUACUAAGAGAAAGUGGCCUCCAUGAUCUAAUCGAGUUCACCUCGACUGGAAUCACUAAUCAAUGUGGGAGUGACUGAUUGGCUACCUGCUCCCCCUGCACACACCCAAACAAAAAUAAAUGUUAGUCUAAAAAUCCAGCAAGAUCAUUGAUCUUGCACUUUAAGCUUACUCCUGCAGCAAGUCUUUAGAAAUCGUUGGUAAUUCAUAAAGGCAUAAACAAACCAAUCCAUGUAUAAUGAUCUACAAGUAAAGUAGUUGAAAGUGAAUUCACCUAUACAAACUGCUAUUGAGCAUAGUUGCAUCACUGAUCCGUCCCAGACAAGGCAUCGGCCUCAUAUCUUUCCCAUCUUUGGAGUGUUAAGUGCAGCAGCCAUCCCGUUCUUAUCCUCCAUACCAACUAACUAGCCUCUUACCGGCAUUAUAAGCGCAUACUUAAUUAAGCGAUAAUAAAUACUAAAUAUCUAAUCAACUGUCACAACAUGACCAUAUCAGUAACACAAUAUAAAGACACAGCGACCCGCGUGGUCUAACUAGGUACUUCAAAAUCAAUCCGACCUAGCUCAUGCUUGGCCACUCAUACGAACCAGAUGGUUUACAUGCAUAUAAGAAUCACAUAUAACAUGUUAUUUGUGAAAAUCAAGCAAACUA
rnacentral:lncRNA from 1 species